rnacentral:rRNA from 1 species
AGUCUGGUGCCAGCAGCCGCGGUAAUUCCAGCUCUAAUAGCGUAUAUUAAUAUUGUUGCAGUUAAAAAGCUCGUAGUUGAAUAUUGAAAUAUAUAAUUGAUGAUUAUAUUGAUUUAUAAUUAUUAUUAUUAUUUCUUCCUACUAAGUUUCGAUAUUGAUCUUAAUUGAUUGAUAUUAUAAUCCUCGGGUUGUUGAUAGAUUAUAAAGGCUCCAUAUUAUAGUAUGAUUAUGUAAAAGUUUGAUUAUUGUAAUUAUGGAUCAAGUUUUUGUAAUUUAUUAGAAUUUUAGUUCAUUUACUUUGAGAAAAUUAGAGUGUUCAAAUCAGUCUUUAGAGACUUUGUAUAUAAUUAGCAUGGGAUAAUAAAAUAGGAUUUAAUUAUUAUAUUGUUGGUUUAAAUAAUUAGAUAAUGAUUAAUAGGGAUAGUUGGGGGUAUUUAUAUUAGACGGUUAGCGGUGAAAUGCUCAGAUCCGUUUAAGAUAAACUAAAGCGAAAGCAUUUACCAAGGAUGUUUUCAUUAAUCAAGAACGAAAGUUAAGGGAUCGAAGACGAUCAGAUACCGUCGUAGUCUUAACUAUAAACUAUGCCGACCAGGGAUGUGAGAAGUUAAACAAUAUAACCAUAAAAAGUUAUAUUAUAUCCUCUUAUGCACCUUGUGAGAAAUCAUAAGUUAUUAGGUUCUGGGGGAAGUAUGGUCGCAAGGCUGAAACUUAAAGGAAUUGACGGAGGGGCACCACCAGGAGUGGAGCGUGCGGCUUAAUUUGACCCAACACGGGAAAACUUACCAGGUCCAGACAUUAUUAGGAUUGACAGAUUGAGAGCUCUUUCAUGAUUUAAUGGGUGGUGGUGCAUGGCCGUUCUUAGUUGGUGGAGUGAUUUGUCUGGUUAAUUCCGUUAACGAACGAGACCUUUACCAGCUAAAUAGUAAUACUUAUGUUUCUAAUAUAGGUAGAAUAACUUCUUAGAGGGAUUAUUGAUCAAAAAAUCAAAGGAAGUAAAGGCGAUAACAGGUCUGUGAUGCCCUUAGAUGUUCUGGGCUGCACGCGCGCUACAAUGAUAUAUUCAAUGAGUUUUCUUUAUUUAUUUAAAGUAUUACUUAAUCGGAAGGUUUGGUUAAUCUCUAAAGUAUAUCGUGCUUGGGAUGGAUGAUUGUAAUUAUUUAUCUUGAACCAGGAAUUCCUAGUAAUCAUAACUCAUCAGGUUAUGAUGAUUACGUCCCUGACCCUUGUACACACCGCCCGUCGCUGCUACCGAUUGGAUGAUCCGGUGAAAUCUACAGAUUGAUUUAAUUAUUUAUCUUUACGGAUAAACUUUAAAUUAAGAAGUUGAUUAAACCUUAUUAUCUAGAGGAAGCAAAAGUCGUAACAAGGUUUCCGUAGGUGAACCUGCGGAAG